UAUGAUAAACCUCUCCUAGUACGAAAGGACCGAAGAGGUGGGGCCUAUACAACAAGCACGCCCCCUCUUUAAAUAAUGUACCCAACUAAAUUAUAAAAAGAAUAACCAUUUAACCCAAAACAAGGGCAUAU
rnacentral:rRNA from 1 species